CAAGAGCUCGGGAUAUUCCAACACUCGCGGGUUUCAGAUCCUUCAACUCUAUUCCCUAAAUCAUUUCUUUUGAGUUUUUACUGUGAAAAGUUUCCUUUAUUGGGGUAUGUAUUUGGAAAAUAUCAUUAAUUUCUGUUGAAUUCGUUACGAAUGUGACGGAAAUCAAAUCAAAUUUCCAGGGGCAAGACCAGAGGAAAUCUCCCUGUUCGGUUCUUGAAGGUUAUUCCAAUGCCAGCAAAGAGGAAGCCACCACACCCAAUCAGUGUGACUACUCCUAGAACACAGUUGAACACUAUAACUAGCACACUACUCGAACCUGUAAUGUAGCCUGCAACUGCCACUGUACCAACGGAGACAGCGCCACCACUCAAACGUAGGCAUCAUGGUCGUACUUGUGGCAUAGGCACAUCCCAAAUAGUUAACGCCACUCAUAGGAAGCUGGAAAUCAUUUAUGAAGACAUUGAUGGGUGACCUACUGGUCCUAAUGCUAGCCGAUUUGUAUCUGAAAUAGGAUCUGGUGUUCGAAUAUUUGCAGCUCUCCAAAGGAUGUUUUGAAAAGAUGUGACUGAAUCUGAAAAUUCCUCAAUUUACGACAAAGUGGAGGCUGUUUUUUACAUUAUGAUAAAUAUGCAACUCUUAAAGAGUUCAUGGAGAAAUCAAUGGCCACUUCCUUUAUGGAGUUUUGAUAUGAGUUGCACGUACACUACAAGGAGUGUCUAGACCAACCAAUAGCUCAUGGGAAAGCAAAUAAGCCUAAAGAAGUUCAUGGCCAAGCUGAUUGGGAUUAUUUGUGUGACUAUUGGGAAAGUGAGCGGUUUCAAGUACAUUUAUAUGUAUUUUAACUGGUAUUUAUGUUUAUUUGUUACCUUAUUUAGUUUGUUGACUAUUUUCAAUUGUAUUUAAUUGUGUUUCCCAGAAAAUAUCCAAGGUAGCAGUUGAAAAUAGAUCACAACAGUAGUUUAGCCAUUUUUCUAGUUCAAGGUCCUUUAUUCAAUGUCAAGCUAUGGAGGUACGUAAGGAAAUAUAUCCAUUUUUAUUGGAAAGGUAAUUUCAAUUCAAUGAACACUUAUUCUUACUUCUUUUAAUAGGAUAAUGGGACUGGACGACCAAAUAGAAUUCAACUAUGGAAGAACACACAUUAUAAUGAUAAUAAAGGUUGGAUCCAUCCAUGGCUGAGGAGAAAUACUAGGAGAUGAUAGACAUGCAAACCACACAAGAGGCACAUGUCGAGGGAGAGGAAAGUGAGAGUCGAGGAGUACAACUCACUCCUAAUGAAAUAGCGACUCAGGUCCUUGACACUACUUCUUGCUAUUAUAGGGGUUUGGGUAGGGGGCUAAAGUUUUCACAUGCUACAUCUCGUGCGAACACGAUACAACGAGAGAAUGCUAAACUUCGUCAAGUUGUGCAUAACUUGCAGAGCCAGAAUGAGCGUACUCUCGCCUUGUUAGAGGAGAUAAUGCCAGGUGCUACUGCUGGAAUAGUUAGCUCUUGAGUGCCCACUAACCAUCACCAUCACCUGAUCAUGAGGCACAUGAUGAUCAUUAGUUUCAAGUUCUUCAUCGCAUUUACAUGUUUUUAAAUCUUAAUAGUUCGUACCCUAUUAUCGAACAUGUUAUAAGUUUGGACUACACUAGUCUUCUCAUUUUUGAAACUUGACAAGGCUUUUUAUUGACUAUGCUAUUAUUUUGUACUAACGCGUACAUGUAAUUACUCAUAUUUUGGAACUAGAAGUGAACUGUAAAGGUACAAUAUAUUAUUUUGUCUUAUAUUUAGUUUGUCGGCUUUUGAAUU